CCAAUAGCGUAUAUUAAAGUUGUUGCAGUUAAAAAGCUCGUAGUUGAAUUUCGGGAUCAAUAUAUCGGUCAUGCCUUGGUAUGCACUGGUAUCUUUGAUUUCUCCCUUCUGACGAACUUUGAUGUCAUUAAUUUGGUGUCAUAGGGAAUCAGGACUGUUACUUUGAAAAAAUUAGAGUGUUUAAAGCAGGCUCACGCUUGAAUACAUUAGCAUGGAAUAA
rnacentral:rRNA from 1 species